GAUGAACGCUGGCGGCGUGCCUAACACAUGCAAGUCGAGCGAUCUUCUUCGGAAGAGAGCGGCGUACGGGUGAGUAACGCGUGGGUAACCUGCCCUGUACACACGGAUAACAUACCGAAAGGUAUGCUAAUACGGGAUAACAUACUUUUAUCGCAUGGUAGAAGUAUCAAAGCUACGGCGGUACAGGAUGGACCCGAGUCUGAUUAGCUAGUUAGUAAGGUAACGGCUUACCAAGGCGACGAUCAGUAGCCGACCUGAGAGGGUGAUCGGCCACAUUGGAACUGAGACACGGUCCAAACUCCUACGGGAGGAAGCAGUGGGGAAUAUUGCACAAUGGGCGAAAGCCUGAUGCAGCAACGCCGCGUGAGCGAUGAAGGCCUUCGGGUCGUAAAGCUCUGUCCUCAAGGAAGAUAACGACGGUACUUGAGGAGGAAGCCCCGGCUAACUACGUGCCAGCAGCCGCCGUAA
rnacentral:rRNA from 1 species